rnacentral:rRNA from 1 species
GAAUUUUUGACAAUGGGCGAAAGCCUGAUCCAGCAAUGCCGCGUGCAGGAUGAAGGCCUUCGGGUUGUAAAAUGCUUUUGUACGGAACGAAAAGCUUUGGGUUAAUACCCUGGUGCCAUGACGGUACCGAAGGAAUAACAACCGCCUAACUCCGUGCCAGCAGCGGCGGUAAUACGAAGGGUGCAGGCGUUAAUCGGAAUUACUGGGCGGAAAGCGUGCGCAGACGGUUUUGUAAGACAGAGGUGAAGUCCCCGGGCUCAACCUGGCAACUGCCUUGGUGACUGCAAGGCUAGAGUACGGCAGAGGGGGGUGGAAUUCCGCGUGUAGCAGUGAAAUGCGUAGAUAUGCGGAGGAACACCGAUGGCGAAGGCAACCCCCUGGGCCUGUACUGACGCUCAUGCACGAAAGCGUGGGGAGCAAACA